CGGUGGCGAUUACAACACAGCUGGUCGGCAGACCUACGUGAGGCCUGUCUCCCAGGACAGAACGAAGGGAAAGAGAGUUCUGCCUACAAGAUCCAAUGUUCCCAGUCUGGAUUUCAGGCUGAAAAACAGCCAAGACGCGAAUAGAGGAUGUCACUGAAGGGCCUGCGGUUUCCUCGUGCAACAAGGAGGCUCAGCCAGGCUGUUCCCGGCACCGGUAAGGAGCCGGGCACCCGUUCUAAUUAACGAGUCAAUCUUCACAACCACCCCUCGGAGAGAGGGGCCAUUGUGAUCCCCUAAUUACAGGAGAGGAAACCUAGGCAAGGGCGGUAACGUCAUAGAACCAGCAAGUCUCCCGUCCACAGGGAGUCGGGAGUCAGGAGACCUGGACUCCGUUGGGCUGUGCCACCCACCGAGGGACGCGGGAGGCGCGAUCAGGUGGUUCCUACGGCCACUUCCAGCCCAGAGCGCCGGCCACUCUGCGUCCAGCUGAUGCCGGUGGGCGCGGGCUGCCCAGGAGGGCACGUCCCGAGACCUCGGCCUCCAGGACCGGCCGCCUCGUCCAGCGGGCUCCCAGGGUCUGGCCGGGGCCGGAGGCAGGGCUGCCUAGCAGCCUCCCGCCGCCCCCACAAGUCGCCGCCCAGGCGCCAAGCCCCAAUCUCCGAUCCCAGGAGAAUGGGCUUCUAGCCCUUCUCAGGUAUCUGUGUCUGGAGGGCCCGGCGAGCCAGGAACGAGAGGGCCAGAGACCCGGCGGCGCGCCCUGGGUUGGGGAAGGGACGACGACACACCGAGAGAACCAAGAACCAACGACUGCAAAACCACGUCGUCCCUUUAACCCUUCAAACUUUCUCCCUGGAUUCGCGACCCCAGCUGCCGUCCAUUGGCUGAGCCGCGAGAGGACCCGCCCUCUCUCUUUACCUACUGGCUGUUGUAGGCACCCAUCACGACGCGAGGCUUCCUAAUGGGCCACGGUUUUUGUCAAUCAAGAGGGGCGGGAGACGGGGCGGGGCCAGGUCUGGGAGAGACGCGCCAGCCUCGUUCCCCUCCCGGCCUCCCUCCGGUGUGCGGCUGGGGACCUCGGGCGCCCGAGGGGGCUCAGGCUGGGCGCGGAGCCUCGCGGCAGGGCUGGGCGAGGCUCCGGGGACUCACCGAUGCGCUGUCCCACCGGAGAGCUGAACGGGUUCCCCAGGAGAAAGUCCAUCGCCACGGCUGCCGCUGCCACCAACCCGUGAUAUCAGCUGACAGCAACCGCCAGCGCCGCCGACCCGUCACGUGACGCGCCGGCUGGCCCGCGAGGAGGCGCCCGUGGGGGCGGAGCGGAGCGAGUCUGGAAUUGGACACAGGCCCCACCCCUGAGGAGGGUCGGCACUCCGAGGGAGCGGGCAGUGACCUCACUGAGGCUCACUCGCCGUCGACGGACGUCACGCACGACGUUGGGCGGUAGGGGGCCUGGGGGCGUGGUGCUCCCUAAGCCACGCCCCCAAGGCUUAUUGAAGGUUUAGGGGCGUGGCCUGACGGUCUUGUAACGCACCUGGAAAACCGGGUCUCGGCGCAGAGCCGUGACUUGGGUAAGGUUACAGAGCGAGCUCGGACGCAGCGCUCACUUUUAAAUGUCUUAAUCGUUGGGACGUCACGGUGACUGCACACCCACCGAGGGGGUAGAUACCCUCUCUGGCCUGUUGUCUUCCUGUCCUAAUAGGACUCUUCCCAUCUGAGGUCGAGGUCUCCCAGGUGCAAGCUGAGGCCUGCUUGCAGCCCCGUAUCUCAAAUAGGAGACAAGAGCCAGGAGUUUGCGCUCCCUGGACAGGGGGCCGACCCAAUAAAUUCAGCUUGGGACGGGCUAGCGCUCCAGGUAGCAGAAAGCACGCAGAAGUCGCGAACAGUGCCUGGGACCCAUCUCUGCCAUUACUUUACAGAGUGAUUCGAACAGCUUCCCAUUUUCUCUGGAUGCUGGAAUUAGUGCAAGGACUCUCAGCUUUUUUUUUAGGUCACAGGCUCUUUUGAGAAUUUUGAAGCCACGAGCCUUUCUGAAAAGGCAGAGAUCCAAUAUAACUUCGGGGAGUUUGGGGGUCCCUGAAGCACAGCUGUUGACCCCAAGUUGAGAAUUAAGGCUCUUAGAGACCUUUCCCAGCUUUGUAAUUCUAUGUUCUUCAACCUUCCUGUCUGGGCCAUGUUUCAGAUGUCACCUACAUUAGAUGCCUGAUCGAUGGGUUAUGUUUUUUUCUUCUAAAGACUCCAAAAGAGCCAAUAACCACUGCUUUGGUGGUAUGGGGCGUUAGUAUUUAUUGACCAAAUUGUCUGUGUGUGAUUCUUAAACUUGGAAGGCCAGUAAACUGACUCUGCACAAAUUUAGGAUGAUGGAAAAUCUGUGAACUUACAAUCACUUCUGCAUGUUAACCUGUUUAACAGAUGUCAGCCUGUCUAACGGCCGACUUCUUUACAAUAUAAACACUUAAUGGAAGUCCUGACUGCUGUGCUUUGAAGUGUUUUAAUAAUGCAUGUGAGACUUCAUAAAUGCCUUUCUCCCUACCAGUCUGGAUGCUUCAUGAGGGCUGGGGUACUAUGUCUACUUCACUCACCACUGUUGUCCAGCACAAUAACAGGAACAUUUAAGUCAAUCUACCUUUCAGUAAUGGUUUUUGGACUAUAAGAGGAAGAUGAAUUUCAUGUCGGGUACCAUCCAUAUUUUUCUUCAUUUAAGAUUAUUGCUUGGUUGUAUGGAGUAUAUUUAGCAUGAACUUCCUUUGGAUUCUUCCAUUAGUUUGUGUGGGGUGAUUUACCGGAAGUUCUUGCCUUCCUACAUCACUCUGGUAUAAAGUGAUUAUGAGAAGAUCUUGGCUUUACUGCCAAGAACAAAACGGCCAUAAGGUUUAUCCUUCAUAGCAAAAAAGCAGAAACAAUCAAGUGUCCCCUAAACAGGGAGUGGAAUAUAACUCCAUGUAAACAGAAUACUACAUAGCUUUCCAAUUAGAAAUGGAAGUUUGUGGAUUUUGUCAACACAAUAGCUAAGAAUAUGUGGCAAAUACUAUGUUUUAAAUGUGUGUCUGCUAAGAAAAAUCAAACUCAGUAAAUGUUUUUAAUUUUUCAUUUUAAGUGGUUUAGCACUAUUAAUAUCAAAUGCCUUCCUUGAACGUAAAUAUUUAGGUCCCUUAAGACUGACAUAUUGCAUAAAUGUAAUGUAAUCUAUUACAUCCUUUAUAUACUGGUAGACAAAAAUCACGAUACUUUGCCUCCAAAGUUUAAAGACAAUAGUAUGAUGAGAAAAGUGAGGCCUGUUAUCAUAAAAUGCAGCUAGGACAAAAGGACAUAUGAACAAUGAAAGGUCUCAGAGGUUUUCCUACAGUCACAUUUGCUAAGUACUAUCGAUAAUACUGAGGAAAGAUUCUGAUGAAUUACAUACACAAUUUACCUUUGAAAGUGGCUUCGGGUAGAAGAGAGCUUAGGCUUUGGGGUUGGCUAUACCAGUGUGCUUAUUCUGGCUCUGCCAUUUAAUAGCCAUAUAACCUUAGGAAAAGCACCUUUCUGUAUCUGUCUCUUCACUUGUAAAGAGGAAUAAUACUCAUAAGGCUUGUGGGAGGAUUAAAUGAGAUAAAAUAUGCAAAUUACUCCAUAAGAAGUUAGCCUUUUAACCAUAGUAUUUCACUAUUUAUGGCUAUUAACACCUUGUCUUUGCAUUGAAAUUUUUACACCCUGAAAGGUCAAGUCUCUAUACAUUAAAUGUUCAGAAUAUUUCUAAACAUUCAUGUCAGCCUGGCUGGCUUCUGGCGUAGAGAUAGGGAAGUGACAUGAACAUUGUUUCAUAGAUGGGACUUCGGAUGCCUAUAAAGAUUAAGUGACUGAUCCAGUAUCACUAAGUCAAGACAGUACUGAAACAGCAUGAAAUAUAUUGGAACACAUGAUUCAGAUGUGAAUCUUACGCAAGACUGGUAUUUCCUUGAGUUAGGUGUACACACUAAUGUACAUGCAGUUUUAUUUGUCAGUGAACCAGAGCUAUAUUUAUCAGAGUCAUUGGGUUUGUAGUUUGCAAAAGAGAGAACAUAAAAGACUCCACAAUGUAAAAGUUAACAGAAACAGAGCAAGACGAUAGGAAAAUGGCUAAGAUCAGAAACUUGACCUCUAUUCCAGAUGGAUUAAAAAAAGAA